rnacentral:rRNA from 1 species
UGGGGAAUCUUCCGCAAUGGACGAAAGUCUGACGGAGCAACGCCGCGUGAGUGAAGACGGCCUUCGGGUUGUAAAGCUCUGUGAUCCGGGACGAAAGAGCCUGAGGUGAAUAGCCUAAGGAAGUGACGGUACCGGAAAAGCAAGCCACGGCUAACUACGUGCCAGCAGCCGCGGUAAUACGUAGGUGGCAAGCGUUGUCCGGAAUUAUUGGGCGUAAAGUGCGCGCAGGCGGCUUCCUAAGUCCAUCUUAAAAGUGCGGGGCUUAACCCCGUGAUGGGACGGAAACUGGGAAGCUGGAGUAUCGGGGAGGAAAGUGGAAUUCCUAGUAUAGCGGUGAAAUGCGUAGAGAUUAGGAAGAACACCGGUGGCGAAGGCCACUUUCUGGACGAAAACUGACGCUGAGGCGCGAAAGCGUGGGGAGCAAACAGG